UUGGUCAUUUAGAGGAAGUAAAAGUCGUAACAAGGUUUCCGUAGGUGAACCUGCGGAAGGAUCAUUAAUGGUGCUUGCAGAAAUGCUUGCACGGCGGCGGCCUUAAAACGCGCCAAAUGGCACCCUUUGUUUACGAGUACCGUUCGUUUCCUCGGUGGGCUUGCCUGCCAUGAGGACCAACAAAAACCUUUUGUAGUAGCAGUAUCUUCAGUAAAAACAAAUAUUAAAACUUUCAACAACGGAUCUCUUGGUUCUGGCAUCGAUGAAGAACGCAGCGAAAUGCGAUAAGUAGUGUGAAUUGCAGAAUUCAGUGAAUCAUCGAAUCUUUGAACGCACAUUGCGCCCUUCGGUAUUCCGUUGGGCAUGCCUGUUCGAGCGUCAUUUAAUCAUUCAAGCUCUGCUUGGUGUUGGGUGUUUGUUCCGCCUCAGCGCGUGGAUUCGCCUUAAAUUCAUUGGCAGCCGGUAUGUUGGCUUCGUGCGCAGCACAUUGCGUCGCGAUUCUGGCAGGCCUCCCCCCAUUAAGCUUCUUUUAAGUUUGACCUCGGAUCAGGUAGGGAUACCCGCUGAACUUAAGCAUAUCAAUAAGCGGAGGA
rnacentral:rRNA from 1 species